UACAGAGGGGGCAAGCGUUAUUCGGAAUUAUUGGGCGUAAAGGGCGCGUAGGCGGCUUCGCAAGUGGAUGGUGAAAUCCCUCGGCUCAACCGAGGAACUGCCGUCCAAACUGCAUGGCUUGAGUCCGGGAGAGGUGAGUGGAAUUCCCAGUGUAGCGGUGAAAUGCGUAGAUAUUGGGAGGAACACCAGUGGCGAAGGCGGCUCACUGGACCGGAACUGACGCUGAGGCGCGAAAGCGUGGGGAGCAAACGGG
rnacentral:rRNA from 1 species